AGUUUGAUCCUGGCUCAGGAUGAACGCUAGCUACAGGCUUAACACAUGCAAGUCGAGGGGAAACGAUAUUGGAAGCUUGCUUCCGAUAGGCGUCGACCGGCGCACGGGUGAGUAACGCGUAUCCAACCUGCCCACCACUUGGGGAUAACCUUGCGAAAGUAAGACUAAUACCCAAUGAUAUCUCUAGAAGACAUCUGAAAGGGAUUAAAGAUUUAUCGGUGAUGGAUGGGGAUGCGUCUGAUUAGCUUGUUGGCGGGGUAACGGCCCACCAAGGCGACGAUCAGUAGGGGUUCUGAGAGGAAGGUCCCCCACAUUGGAACUGAGACACGGUCCAAACUCCUACGGGAGGCAGCAGUGAGGAAUAUUGGUCAAUGGACGAGAGUCUGAACCAGCCAAGUAGCGUGCAGGAUGACGGCCCUAUGGGUUGUAAACUGCUUUUAUAAGGGAAUAAAGUGAGUCUCGUGAGACUUUUUGCAUGUACCUUAUGAAUAAGGACCGGCUAAUUCCGUGCCAGCAGCCGCGGUAAUACGGAGGGUCCGGGCGUUAUCCGGAUUUAUUGGGUUUAAAGGGAGCGUAGGCCGGAGAUUAAGCGUGUUGUGAAAUGUAGACGCUCAACGUCUGCACUGCAGCGCGAACUGGUUUCCUUGAGUACGCACAAAGUGGGCGGAAUUCGUGGUGUAGCGGUGAAAUGCUUAGAUAUCACGAAGAACUCCGAUUGCGAAGGCAGCUCACUGGAGCGCAACUGACGCUGAAGCUCGAAAGUGCGGGUAUCGAACAGGAUUAGAUACCCUGGUAGUCCGCACGGUAAACGAUGGAUGCCCGCUGUUGGUCUGAAUAGGUCAGCGGCCAAGCGAAAGCAUUAAGCAUCCCACCUGGGGAGUACGCCGGCAACGGUGAAACUCAAAUGAAUUGACGGAA
rnacentral:rRNA from 1 species